CAGUUAUAGUUUACUUGAUAAUCUUUACUUACAUGGAUAACCGUGGUAAUUCUAGAGCUAAUACAUGCGAAAAAACUCGACUUUAUGGAAGGGUUGUAUUUAUUAGAUAAAGAACCAAUAUAAUUGGUGACUCAUAAUAACUUUACGGAUCACAUUAAAUGUGACAUAUCAUUCAAGUUUCUGACCUAUCAGCUUUAAACGGUAGGGUAUUCG
rnacentral:rRNA from 1 species